UACUGGUUUUUAUCAGGGCUGGUGCAACAUCAACACCCAUUAUGUUGGCUGUGGCUUUGUACGAAAAAUUUUUUUAAAGAAAAUCACUAACAUUAAGCAGAUUAAUAGAAAAAGCAUACAAAUUUAUGUAACAAGUAUACACCGGCGCCUUCAGAAUGAAGACCCAAAGCCACAGGGGAAAUUGUCAAUUUUUAUGCUUAGGUUCAACAAAGUAAAGCCGUGCAGAAAUAUGAUUGGACAAAAAGAGUAGGACCUAAUGCUAAAAGAUGGAGUGGGAAAACCCAGUGAGACCUGUUUGUCGGGGGCAGGGGUAUCCAAUCUUCUGGUUCCCCUGGGCCACUUUGGAAGAAUUGUCUUGGGCAACACAUAAAAUACACUAACGAUAGCUGAUCAGCUUUAAAAAAAAAACCUCAUGAUUUAGGAAAGUUUCCAGACCGGGUGCGGUGGCUCACGCCUGUAAUUCCAGCUUUUUGGGAGGCCGAGGCCGGCGGAUCACGAGGUCAGGAGAUCGAGACCAUCCUGGCUAACACGGUGAAACCCCGUCUCUACUAAAAAUACAAAAAAUUAGCUGGGCCUGGUGGCGGGCGCCUGUAGUCCCAGCUACUCGGGAGGCUGAGGCAGGAGAAUGGCGUGAACCGGGAGGCGGAGCUUGCAGUGAGCCGAGUUUCCGAAUUUGUGUUGAGCAGCAUUCAAAGCUGUCCUGGGGCGCAAGCCGGCUGUAGGUUGGACAGGUUUGGCCUAGAGUUUUCUUGGCCUCUCUAAGCAUGCUUCCUUCCUUCUGAAUAUGGGGCAGGACAUUCUCUGGAAUAGGGGUCUUAUGACCUACAGUCAAACAACAUGGGUCAGAUAAUUUAAUUUAUUCAUGGCCAGUUUUUACAUGGAAAGGCAAAAGGAAAAUUACAAUAACAUUUUUCGGUUUUAGGGCUGGCUCUGGGGGAAAGGCAUUCUGGAUCCUAGUUUCUAUGGCUAGCCUUGGGGGAGAAUGAGACUAAGAUACGGGAGAGUGCAGGAGAAGGUCAGAGGAAAACCUGCUUCUGAGGCCCUCAUUUGGGGGUAUUGUUUUCUGAGCUGAAAUAUUUAGGAUUGAAGUUAUGUCUUUGUAAAUUGACUUAAUGAAUUUUCAGAAAAAGCAUUAGACUAAGCAAAUAAGGCAAAAUGUUGAGUUUUCUUAUGUACAUUGAGGAAAUGCAUAUACAUAGAUGCAUAUUUUACCAUUUUCCCAGUGUUUGAAAAUGUUGCAAUAUGAAGUAAAAAGAGAUAUAGGGGUUCUACCUCCAUCAGGGUAUCUUAUAAAUUCAAAGCUACCAAGAGAAUUCAAGGUGCGUAGAAAUGUUUCUUGGGAAUAAGGCUAUGAAAUGGGAAUACAAAACUUGAAAUGGAGCACAGCAGUACUGUAAAUGAAAAGUAUCCAUAAGCAGCAGUGUCUGCCUCAAGAAAGAAAAAAAAAACUUUUCAAAUAUACUUAAUACAUGAAAAUACUCACGAUGCAAAAUAAGAAAAUAGUUAUGGGCCCAGCACGGUGGCUCACGCCUGUAAUCCCAACACUUUGGGAGGCCAAGGCAGGUGGAUCUCUUGAGGCCAAGAGUUCGAGACCAGCCUGGCCAUCAUGGUGAAACCCCAUCUCUACUAAAAGUACAAAAAUUAGCUAGGCAUGGUGACAUGCACCUGUAAUCCCAGCUAUGCAGAAGGCUGAGGCAGGAGAAUUACCUGAACCCAGGAGGUGGAGGUUGCAGUGAGCUGAGAUAGCGCCACUGCACUCCAGCCUGAACCACACAGCAAGACUCUGUCUCAGAAAAGAAAAAAAGAAAAGAAAAGAAAAUGCUUAUGUAGGUGGGGCAC
rnacentral:lncRNA from 1 species